rnacentral:rRNA from 1 species
GAUGAACGCUGGCGGCGUGCCUAAUACAUGCAAGUCGAGCGAACAGACGAGGAGCUUGCUCUUCUGACGUUAGCGGCGGACGGGUGAGUAACACGUGGAUAACCUACCUAUAAGACUGGGAUAACUUCGGGAAACCGGAGCUAAUACCGGAUAAUAUAUUUAACCGCAUGGUUCAAUAGUGAAAGACGGUUUUGCUGUCACUUAUAGAUGGAUCCGUGCCGCAUUAGCUAGUUGGUAAGGUAACGGCUUACCAAGGCGACGAUGCGUAGCCGACCUGAGAGGGUGAGCGGCCACACUGGAACUGAGACACGGUCCAGACUCCUACGGGAGGCAACAGUAGGGAAUCUUCCGCAAUGGGCGAAAGCCUGACGGAGCAACGCCGCGUGAGUGAUGAAGGUCUUCGGAUCGUAAAACUCUGUUAUUAGGGAAGAACAAAUGUGUAAGUAACUAUGCACGUCUUGACGGUACCUAAUCAGAAAGCCACGGCUAACUACGUG